CCUACGGGAGGCAGCAGUGGGGAAUAUUGGACAAUGGGGGGAACCCUGAUCCAGCGACGCCGCGUGAGUGAAGAAGUAUUUCGGUAUGUAAAGCUCUAUCAGCAGGGAAGAAAGAAAUGACGGUACCUGACUAAGAAGCCCCGGCUAACUACGUGCCAGCAGCCGCGGUAAUACGUAGGGGGCAAGCGUUAUCCGGAUUUACUGGGUGUAAAGGGAGCGUAGACGGCGAUGCAAGUCUGAAGUGAAAGGCGGGGGCUCAACCUCCGGACUGCUUUGGAAACUGUAUGGCUGGAGUGCAGGAGAGGUAAGCGGAAUUCCUAGUGUAGCGGUGAAAUGCGUAGAUAUUAGGAGGAACACCAGUGGCGAAGGCGGCUUACUGGACUGUAACUGACGUUGAGGCUCGAAAGCGUGGGGAGCAAACAGGAUUAGAUACCCGGGUAGUC
rnacentral:rRNA from 1 species